rnacentral:rRNA from 1 species
UGGGGGAAUAUUGGACAAUGGGGGGCAACCCUGAUCCAGCAAUGCCGCGUGUGUGAAGAAGGUCUUCGGAUUGUAAAGCACUUUCGACGGGGACGAUGAUGACGGUACCCGUAGAAGAAGCCCCGGCUAACUUCGUGCCAGCAGCCGCGGUAAUACGAAGGGGGCUAGCGUUGCUCGGAAUGACUGGGCGUAAAGGGCGUGUAGGCGGUUUACACAGCCAGAUGUGAAAUCCCCGGGCUUA